AGGUUUUAAACAGAUUAAAUGGAUCUUAAAUAGGUUAAAUAAAUCGGAUUAAAUGGGUCAGAAAUAAGUUAAAUAGGUUAAAUAGGUUAUCUAACUCAACUCGAUCUGAAUAUUAAACAGAUUAAAUGGGUCAGAUAUUUAAAAUCCAAAUCCGACCUAAUUAUUAAACGGAUUAAAUGGAUCGAUCCAUUUAUGAUCCAAACCCAUUUAGCCUAAACCCAAAUCUGUUUAUGACGGAUCAAACACAGGUCAGAUUGAC
rnacentral:lncRNA from 1 species